rnacentral:rRNA from 1 species
UACGUAGGUGGCAAGCGUUGUCCGGAAUAACUGGGUGUAAAGGGCGAGUAGGUGGGACAUUAAGUCAGAUGUGAAAUUUAGGGGCUCAACUUCUAAGCUGCAUCUGAAACUAAAGUUCUUGAGUGCUGGAGAGGGAAGCGGAAUUCCUAGUGUAGCGGUGAAAUGCGUAGAUAUUAGGAGGAACACCAGUGGCGAAGGCGGCUUUCUGGACAGUAACUGACACUGAGGCGCGAAAGCGUGGGGAGCGAAC